rnacentral:rRNA from 1 species
GUGCCAGCAGCCGCGGUAAUACCGGCAGCCCGAGUGAUGGCCGAUCUUAUUGGGCCUAAAGCGUCCGUAGCUGGCCGGACAAGUCCGUCGGGAAAUCCACGCGCUCAACGUGUGGGCGUCCGGCGGAAACUGUUCGGCUUGGGACCGGAAGAUCCGAGGGGUACGUCUGGGGUAGGAGUGAAAUCCCGUAAUCCUGGACGGACCACCGAUGGCGAAAGCACCUCGGAAGGACGGAUCCGACAGUGAGGGACGAAAGCUAGGGUCUCGAACCGGAUUAGAAACCCCGGUAG